CACUUUAAUCAGUAGGUGGCGGUAAUGCGCCUAAAAGUUUAACCAACCUUAAAAAUACAGCGAAGAAGAAGUUUUUCUCGUCUGCAGUUUGGAUUAACGUUUUUUCGAAAGGGAUUAAUUCGAUUGCGGCUUAACUUACUGGAAACAGUCACCAGGUUCAGUCCAGCUAAGCCAGUGCUUAUGAUGAAGGCUUCCUUACUUGAGGACUGCUUCAGGAUGUAGAAUGAACAAUGCCACCUAAGAUCCUGUGGCAGAUCCUGAUGGGAGUAGUCAAGGUUGAUGGCGAUGUGGCUGUCUUGAGGCUUGCACUCAAAUGCUAGAUGUUUAGGGACAUUGUUAGUGAGCCCAAAUUUAAAGAACAGGCUCACUUUUUGUGUCUUGACAGUCAUGAGAACUGGAUUGUGUUUUACAGACAACAGUUUCGGAUGCCCUACUCUGUGACUCAAUGCUUCCACAGAAAUCUUCAAAGACUGUCCACCUGGCAAUGUUGGGGAUGGCAGAAGGGGUGUCCUAAGGAUUUUAUUCUGAAAAGGAGUUUGAAGGCUGUUUCUCCACUGCCUUUUUUUCAAAUGAUGGAGGGGAAUUUCAGACAGAAUAGAUAUAGUUAUUAAUAAAGGAUGGAUGAAAUGCAACUAGGCAAUAAAAAUUGGCUAUAGAACUUGAGGAAAACAUACUUUAAUACUUUGAAAAAAUAUGCAAAAUGUUAUUUUCCUAGUAUUGCAUCCCUAAAUUGAUGUUUCGAAUUAAAGUACAGUUUACCUCACAGAUCUUUCAUAUUAUGAUGCUAAACAGGCUCUUAAAUAGGACUUUGGUCAGAUGAUGAUGGGGUCACCCCUUGAUUUCUUUCUUAUUUUAUGCCCAUAAUAAUUAAAAUAGUGAUGCUUUUUGCAGUAUGGGAUGGUGUAUUAUCCUCCAUGAAAGUAAAUUUAUUUCAGAAGACAUAAUUCCUUAUAUCUCAAAGUGAAAACAAUAUUUUAGGAACUCUACAUAUCUUCUAGAUGUCCAUUUGACCCCCUCAGGGACUAUAAAGGGACCUACCAUCUUCCCAGUAUUCCAGUCAAAAUCAUUACUUUGCCACCUCUCCCUAAUGUUACAGUCUUGUUUGAACAUAGUGGCUAUUAACCAAUAAUCCAGAAUGACAUUCAUCUACAUUAUUCAGUGUAUUUUUGCAUGUCAAUAAAUAAAACUGUUUUAAAAUA